GAUCAACGCUGGCGGCGUGCUUAACACAUGCAAGUCGAACGAAGUUUUUCUUUCGGGAGGAACUUAGUGGCGGACGGGUGAGUAACGCGUGGGUAACCUGCCCUGUACAGGGGGACAACAGCUGGAAACGGCUGCUAAUACCGCAUAAGCCCUUAGCACUGCAUGGUGCAUAGGGAAAAGGAGCAAUCCGGUACAGGAUGGACCCGCGUCUGAUUAGCCAGUUGGCAGGGUAACGGCCUACCAAAGCGACGAUCAGUAGCCGAUCUGAGAGGAUGUACGGCCACAUUGGGACUGAGACACGGCCCAGACUCCUACGGGAGGCAGCAGUGGGGAAUAUUGCACAAUGGAGGAAACUCUGAUGCAGCGACGCCGCGUGAGUGAAGAAGUAUUUCGGUAUGUAAAGCUCUAUCAGCAGGAAAGAAAAUGACGGUACCUGACUAAGAAGCACCGGCUAAAUACGUG
rnacentral:rRNA from 1 species